rnacentral:rRNA from 1 species
GAUGAACGCUAGCUACAGGCUUAACACAUGCAAGUCGAGGGGAAACGAUAGGGAAAGCUUGCUUUUUCUAGGCGUCGACCGGCGCACGGGUGAGUAACGCGUAUCCAACCUGCCCAUCACUUGGGGAUAACCUUGCGAAAGUAAGACUAAUACCCAAUGACGUCUCUAGAAAACAUCUGAAGGAGAUUAAAGAUUUAUCGGUGAUGGCUGGGGAUGCGUCUGAUUAGCUUGUUGGCGGGGUAACGGCCCACCAAGGCGACGAUCAGUAGGGGUUCUGAGAGGAAGGUCCCCCACAUUGGAACUGAGACACGGUCCAAACUCCUACGGGAGGCAGCAGUGAGGAAUAUUGGUCAAUGGACGAGAGUCUGAACCAGCCAAGUAGCGUGCAGGAUGACGGCCCUAUGGGUUGUAAACUGCUUUUAUAAGGGAAUAAAGUGAGUCUCGUGAGACUUUUUGCAUGUACCUUAUGAAUAAGGACCGGCUAAUUCCGUGCCAGCCGCCGCGGUAA